GCACCAUGCUUCCAGGCUACAGUCCUGUGACCCAGGCCCUGCUGGGGACUCUGCUCACCUGGGGCCUGACUGCUGCUGGGGCUUGACUGGUCUUCAUCUUUUCCAGCCGACAGGUGAUGUUGGCGGCGUCCUAUUGGACGUUGCUGGCACCGGCGAUAGACAUGGCAGAGGAUUCGGGAAAGUAUGGCUCGUUUGCGUUCGUCCCUGUGGCGGUGGGCUUUGCCCUCGGCGCGGCCUUCGUCUACCUGGCUGACCUCAUGAUGCCUGCUCUGUGAUGACAGUGGGAAGACGGAGCAGAGUGGAAUCGGGGGGGAGACGCAGGGGUCUUGGCUGUUGGCUGGGGUGCCCCUCUGGGGGGUCGGACCAGGCUGUUUGGACAGCUGCUGGUGUCAAUUUUACUGGCUCCUGGGCAAACACUGGGCCCUGAAUGAUAGCAGGAGAGAGGGGGAGUGCAGUUGUGUGGUGGAGGCAGUGCCAGCCUAGCGGCAGCAGCACCGAGUCCGUCGGCCCCCGUUCUGACCCCCCUCAACCUGGUGAUAAGGCUGCCCUGUCCCUGGAAGUCUCUGUAUCUGCAUCGAUCUCUCUCUCUCUCUCUUUCUCUUCCCUAUCAACACUACUGUUUUCCCCAGUCACGGCCUUUUGUGCGCCAGCAGCGUUUCUAGGAUAAGGGAAAACAAACGUCAGGUGGUUGGGUGACUGCGGAGCAAGCUGUUGCAGGAUUAAGUGUCAUAGGACCAUGAACUGUAUCUCCGUAUGUGGGAGCAAGGGCUUUGUCAGGGAGAUGAUACUGACUUAACUGGACCUGGUCAAACACUUUCAAACAAAGCCACAGCUUUGCACAAGGUACAAGUCAGGUAACAGGAUGUUGCCCCACGCAAUGGGAGUGUUGCAUCAUGGGAGAUAACAUUAGCUCCCAUCCAUAGCUUCCUGUGGCACACAGCCAAGGGCCAAGUGUGCACAAUGCCAACAUGUUCGGCCCUAUUUUGAUUUGUUUAUCACUUUUUUGGUUAAUACAUGAUUCUAUAUGUGUUAUUUCAUAGUUGUGAUGU